rnacentral:lncRNA from 1 species
UUUGUGGGCUCCUGCAAGUGCCAGGCGCUGACCACUCCUCCUGGGAGCCUAACUGAGGGGGGUAGAGGCAGCAGAGGUUAACAGAAAUCUCAGGUCCCUUGGUGGAAGGUGGGUGUGUAGUCGUGGUACUUUACGCCUCGGUGUUUAGGGAGGAGCCUAAGGUAAGGAGUCAGAAACGGGGAGUAACCGAGCUGCGGCUUUUAUAUAAGGUCAGUGGUAGGUAAGGAAGGGGCCUUAACCUCUGCUGGUGACCAGAAGCCUGCAUUUCUGCAUUCUGCUUAAUUCCCUUUCCUUAGUUUGAAAGAAGCCAACACUAAACCACAAAUAUACAACAAGGCCAUUUUCUCAAACGAGAGUCAGCCUUUAACGAAUGACCAUGGUUGACACAGAGAUGCCAUUCUGGCCCACCAACUUUGGGAUCAGCUCCGUGGAUCUCUCCGUAAUGGAAGACCACUCCCACUCCUUUGAUAUCAAGCCCUUCACUACUGUUGACUUCUCC